UGGUAAAAAAAAAAAAAACCCAAACAUGACUUAUUCAGAAUUGUAACCGUCACUAUCUAAAAGAUCUGUUCUUCCAUCAUGCUGUUGACAAGCUGCAUACAGAGCAGUUCUUUGACUUCGUCAGAUCUGUAUGGAAAGUGAUGAGGCUUUGAUGCGUUACUUGUCUGCGUCUGAGAGCUGAACGGGUAAACAGGACCGCAGCGGCAGCAGCAGCAGCAGCAGCAGCAGAAGAAGACGAAGAAGACUAGUAAAGUUCAGUGGGCGGGGGAGACAGGAAGAUGUCACCAGGUAAGGAAACAGUGACGAGGGGAUGGGUAGAGUGAGUGUGAGGACAGAGAGAAAGAAAGAGGGAGAGUCACACCUUGAGGAAGUUAACCAAAUAAUAGAAGGAGAACAAAAGACGCAUCAUACCGAAGGAUGGGACUCGUGCAAUGUUUUAUGAUAGUCUUGAUGUUAUCUGCACAGUCGGUGUUCACCUUCCCGUCGGUAACAAAGCCCUUUCUCUUCAUCUUAUCUGUAAUCUCACAGAAACAUUUUAUGUUGUUUGCUUUUCAAGAAUAAGACAGAGCAAAUGUGUAAAUUACGUCUGUUCAUGUGUGAACAAAUUAAUCAGGACUUUGCUGUUGUAUAGUUGUCUGUGUCUAAUUGUUCUGAUGUGUUGACAGGCCACUAUAAAAGGCAAGUGUGAAGAAAUGUGCCCACCAGGUACAUAUAAGAAGUCUUGUACAGAGUGUGUGUCCUGUCCCCUUGGAAGGUACACGACUGAGUGGAACGCAGAAGACGACUGCCAUAUCUGCUACCCAGACUGCAGACCAGAUUAUCGUCUGGUGGUGGUUCAGAGUUGCACCAACACGUCCGACGUGCAGUGCAGCUGUGAGGCUGGCUUUGAAUGCUCGGAGUGGGUUACUCUCUCAACACACUGCAAACGCUGCAGGAAGAUCCAGUCAACAACUGGUAAAUACGAAAACAGAUUCUCAAUUCUGUCAGAUAUGAACGGCCUCAGCCAGCAGGGGGCCUCGUGACAAAGAAAAUAAACUUCAGGAGUUUUCGC
rnacentral:lncRNA from 1 species